rnacentral:rRNA from 1 species
UACGUAGGGGGCGAGCGUUGUCCGGAGUUACUGGGCGUAAAGGGCAUGCAGGCGGUCGGACGCGUUUUGUGUGACAGCGGGUGGCUUAACUACCCGAGCAUGCGAAAGACGGUUGGACUUGAGGGCUCGAGAGGGACACGGAAUUCCGGGUGGAGUGGUGAAAUGCGUAGAGAUCCGGAGGAACACCGAAGGCGAAGGCAGUGUCCUGGCGAGUGACUGACGCUGAGGUGCGAAAGCCAGGGGAGCGAACAGG